CGGAGGGCAAAUUCAUUAUUUGAAGAGUUGAAGAAAGGAGACCUUGAAAGAGAGUGUUGGGAAGAGACUUGCUCCUACGAAGAGGCCCGAGAAGUCUUUCAGGACAUGGAGAAGACGAAUGAAUUCUGGAAUAUAUACAAAGAUGGUGACCAGUGUGAAAGCAAUCCCUGCCUGAAUCAGGGCAGGUGUAAGGACGGCCUCGGGGAAUACACCUGCACUUGUCAGGAAGGAUAUGAAGGCAGAAACUGUGAAUUACCCAUGCGAAAAUUCUGCAGCCUGGCUGGAGAGUUGGAAAGAG